rnacentral:lncRNA from 1 species
AUGAAAUGUAGCAACUAGACACCACAGAUCCUGUCCCUCAUGCACAAGAUGAAGCAACUAUCCUCGCUUCCCAAAGACCUGAGGUUUCCUCUGGACAGCUGGCACCAGACAGCCUCUGAUCUUAAAGGUGGGAGCACAGCUGAGGGAAGAAAGCUCCAUGAAGACAGAAAGACGGUAACUACGAUGACUGCUCUUCACUGGAUCCUCAGCCCCUUCCACAGAGCCUGUAACGGGACAAGGAUCUACUAAGUCUUUGUUUUUGAAUCAUUUGCUUGUGGGGGAAGCCAGCUGCCAUGUUGUGAAGACAUUCAAGCAGCCUUUAUGAAGUGGUUCACAUGGCAGAGAACUGAGGGCUCCUGCCGGCAGCCAGCGUCAACUUUCUGGCCAUGUGGCUGAGCCAUCUUGGAAGCAGAUCCUUCAGCCUGGUGAGGCUUUGGGAGGACUCCAGCCCUGGCCAACAGCUUGACUGCAACUGUAUGAGAGACCCCAAGACAGAACCACCCAGCUAAGCUGCUCCCGAAUACAUGACCCACAUAAAUUGUAUGAGAUGAUAAAUGCUUGUUGUUGUUUUAAACCACUAAGUUUUGGGGUAAUUUGUUAUGCAGCAAUAGAUAACUAAUACAGCUCCCAAAGUUCCUAUAACUGAGUUUCUC